rnacentral:hammerhead_ribozyme from 1 species
GAACUGCUGAGGAGUCCCACAAUAGGACGAAACAACUGUUCAGUGC